CCUACGGGUGGCAGCAGUGAGGAAUAUUGGUCAAUGGACGAGAGUCUGAACCAGCCAAGUAGCGUGAAGGAUGACUGCCCUAUGGGUUGUCAACUUCUUUUAUAAAGGAAUAAAACGAGGCACGUGUGCCUUUUUGCAUGUACUUUAUGAAUAAGGAUCGGCUAACUCCGUGCCAGCAGCCGCGGUAAUACGGAGGAUCCGAGCGUUAUCCGGAUUUAUUGGGUUUAAAGGGAGCGUAGAUGGGUUGUUAAGUCAGUUGUGAAAGUUUGCGGUUCAACCGUAAAAUUGCAAUUGAUACUGGCAGUCUUGAGUACAGUUGAGGUAAGCGGAAUUCGUGGUGUAGCGGUGAAAUGCUUAGAUAUCACGAAGAACCCCGAUUGCGAAGGCAGCUUACUAAACUGUGACUGACAUUGAUGCGCGAAAGUGUGGGUAGCAAACAGGAUUAGAUACCCUAGUAGUC
rnacentral:rRNA from 1 species